rfam:Clostridium sp. DMHC 10 contig_15, whole genome shotgun sequence.
AAGUCAGUAUUUAUUAAUUUAUAUAAAACUGAACUUUAAGUCAAAAUUAAUAUUUUAAAUUUCGACUUAUAUCCAAUAAGGAAUGAGAGCGAGGU